rnacentral:lncRNA from 1 species
UUCUACAACGAAUCAAAAGUUGUGAAGUAAUCUGUACUGAUAAAAAAUUCACAUAACAACUCUCUUCCAAAUUAUUUAAAUUUGGCUCUGGCUCUACCCAUGAAUAGGGUUUAAGAAACAUACUAUGAACAUUGUUUUUCAUUUUCGAAAAGGUUUGGCAGAUAUCCAUCAGCAAACCGUUCUAGCUUACGGGUACGGAGGGUGAUAAGCCCCGUUGUACCCUGUAUUGAUCAAUACUACAUAACUUGAACGAAAUUCAUCGCUCACUCUAUUCGCCUUGGGCGCAAAAAUCUUCCCAUAUAGGGAUGUUCAUACAUGCCUGGUUCCAAACCCGAAGGUUUUUAAUCUUGCUCAAUAAUAAUAUGUAAUUUAAUAUAUAUAUAUAUAUACGGGUAAUUGACAAAAGUGUAUCAACAUGUGAAUAAAUGCCAUGAUUAUCCAAGUGGGGACACUUGUAUAACCAUUUAGAAAUCAACUUAACAGAAUAUAUAUCUGAGUUAACAUGUUGAUAAUCAAAGCGUACAUAAUCUGUACAGGAAUAGAAUAAUUCUGAAACUUCUUACUCAUGUCCAUUGCAUAAAGGAAAUGCAAAGGUAAGAUACUUGCCUGAUUUGCUAAUUACAAAUCUCAACUUAGGUUUUAUCUCUUUAUCACAACCUAU